rnacentral:rRNA from 1 species
CACGUAGGCACCAAGCGUUGUCCGGAUUUAUUGGGCGUAAAGAGCUCGUAGCGGUUCAGUAAGUCAGGUGUGAAAUCUUUGGGCUUAACCCAAAGCGUGCACUUGAUACUGCUGUGACUUGAGUUCGGUAGGGGAGUGGGGAAUUCCUAGUGUAGCGGUGAAAUGCGCAGAUAUUAGGAGGAACACCGGUGGCGAAGGCGCCACUCUGGGCCGGUACUGACGCUGAGGAGCGAAAGCGUGGGGAGCGAACAGG